rnacentral:lncRNA from 1 species
CUCAUAACAGUUGAAGCUAAGGGUGUCAGUGAAUCUAGCUCCUUGGGUGGACCUCGUGAGUUUGACUAGUCUCCCUCUCUUGUGACUGUAUCCCUUAUCCAAUGGAUGGUUCCUGUGUCCCUGUGUGUGUAUCUUGUGUCUCAUAGAGUGAUUUCCAAAAGAGCUGCUCAAGACAUCCAAGUGCCAACUCUCAGUGAGAACUCUUUCCUCUUGUCCUGGUCCUGCUACCUUCAAUUCCUUACCAUCUUUAUAUAUCAACUAAGGAACAGCAAGAUCACAGACUAUGUAGCAGGGAAUGGUGUGUAAGAAGACUGCAAAGGGAGGAAGGCAAUGGAAGCUAUGGAGAUCAAGGAAAAAACUAAAGUCAAGUAUAAUAUUUAAAAUGAAGUUUGAAUGAUGCUAGUUAUUCCAAGGGAAAGUGGUAAGAAAAAAAAACAGCACAUUAAAAUAUGGAAAUCUAUGUGCAGAGGUUUGUUGUGUUUCAGGUGUUAGACAUUUUCUUGGAGUAAUCUUUGGUGAUAUGGGAGUACAAACCAAAAUAUGACUAACCACAGAUACAAGAGGGGUGAUGUAUUGUGUUUCAUUUAAUUUUCCAUAUAAUCAUGGUUUAGGCAGACUACUUUUUAAAGUUCAAGUCAUUUUUUAUUUUAAUUUUGCUAAAAUGUAAUAAAUGGUUUGAAAGGUUCA